GGCCGACCAGCUGAGGGCUCCCGGAGAUAUGGAGCGGGGUCAGCGAGGCCUGGUGGCGCCUCCUGGAGUCUGGGACGAGCGGCGGUCCGAGGAGCAGCCCAGGUGGGGCGAGGAUUAUUGGCCGAGGAAAAACCAAUUUCGCUCUAAAGGAUAAGCAACAAAAUACUGAGGGGGGAAAAAGCCUACACAAAUGGAAACAUACGGCACAAAAUCAAGGAGCGACCAGUUCCGCAUGGUUACACUAAAAUGCACUGCACUCCCACUCUCUGGCUUGGCUGAAGAUAACCAGCAAGCUCUGAACAGUUUAAAAGCCUUCCAAGGACUGCAGCAGCACUGGACACACAAGAGAGUCGAGAACAGUAUUGGAUUUAUUGUUAGGGUUACAAUUUUCACGAUCUUUGCAUGCAAAACUUGCCACUCUGAGCCCAGUGAACUAUUUUUAUUUGGUUUACUUACUGGCUUUCUGGAUGACUAGGUAGAGCUUUAACUAAAGAACACUUCUGCUGUGGUCUGUGAUGAUGAAUUUUCCCGUAGUGUCAUUUCUAUAAUGGAAUAGGCAAACUGACCAUUUAGAAUGUGAUAUUCCUAAAUCACAUUCAAAUCAGUCUUAUCAGAGACUUCUAAUCAAUAAAAAUAAAGCACCAGAUGGCUAGAGGUAGUUUUUGACCUCAGCUUGGGCCUCAGCAAAGAUUUUUUGUGUUUUUUUUAACUACAUUAAAACAUCAGAGUUUAAGACACUUUUCUUUGAGCAUCAGAAAUACUCUCAGCUGAAUUUAGAGUUGAACUAUCCGGAAGAACCCUGGAGAAGGAGGGUGAUUUAUUUUCAACUUUCUGAUUUACCACCGACUUAAAUCAACCAAUGAGUUCUUUCUUUGACCAAAAAAAAAAAAAAAAAAAAAAAAAAAAAAAAAAAAAUUCAAGACUUGUGAUGUUUCUAUUUGUUUUGUUUUGUUUAGUUUGGUGUGUGCUUACUCAUUGUCCCAUUCUUUUGAUAACCUGUAUUUAUCUGCCACAAGUUAAACAAAAAUAAAUGAAAUAAGGAACACACCAAAAUCCUGCACUUAGGCCCUGUAUAGACAGUGUGUUCCAAACCUAAGGAGGUGUCUGCAACAGGGGAGGCUGCUGAGUGACUCUGCAGAGAACAGAUGACAUCUGUUAAAUGUCAAACACCAUCACGUCGUACUUCAAGUUGUACUUUACUUGGAACAUGGAAGCCAUCUGUCUGGAGCUCCCACAUCCAUUUCAAAUCUUCAGGGUUCCCCAUUCCAGGGGAGGAGCUGAACCUCCUGACACCGUCCACUUCCCUCCUGCCUCCUUCAAACAUCAUCCCUUUUUUCUCCCGAAUCCCUAAAUGUUUCUGCACCCAAGGGCUCUACCCCAAUAAACACAGCUAAGACUCUUUGAUUCUUAAAAUGUCUUCCUUUAACGUCCCACCCUCCAGAAUCUAUUGUCGUAUGUUUUGUUCACCAAAGGUAAUAAAAAUAAAUGUGGAUUUUGGUGCCGUUAUUUUUCAAAAAAAGCUAUAUAUUAAUAGUUUUUCUUGCUUAUGUAUACAAAUCAAAUUACUUAUUUUUAAAUCCAUCAUUCCCCUAGAGUUUCUGCAGCACUUGAUCCUCUAAUCACCUUGCUCUUGGUCUACCAUUGGCUUGGUUUUUCUCCUUCCUCUGUAGCAGUCCUUUCGUCUUUGUUGACUCAGAUUCUUCCUCCCUUCUAAUCCUCCAAUAUUUUUACCAUCCCCUAAUUGUAAACCACAGGCUUUUUAUCUUUACUGUCUCUCACAGCCCUCAUUUACUAUUACUUCCAUCCCGGAUCCUGGUGACUCCCAACUCCAGAAUAUAUACCCUUAACCUCACUCCUGACUUCCACUAAUACAUUCUGAAUGGUCCCUGCACAAUUCUAUCAAGAUACCCUGCUGUUAAUUUAAUAUGUUCCAAACCACAUUAAUCUUGCAAUAUACAAUCACUUUACACAUACCUCUCCCUUGCUCAAAAACCUUUAAUAGAUUCCCCGUUCCUAUAUAAGUAAAUAUUAACUUCACCUCCUCACCAUCACCACCACCACCCCCUAAUUGGGCCCUG
rnacentral:lncRNA from 1 species